rnacentral:rRNA from 1 species
AGUGAACGCUGGCGGUAGGCCUAACACAUGCAAGUCGAACGGCAGCACAGUAAGAUCUUGCUCUUACGGGUGGCGAGUGGCGGACGGGUGAGGAAUACAUCGGAAUCUACUUUUUCGUGGGGGAUAACGUAGGGAAACUUACGCUAAUACCGCAUACUACCUACGGGUUAAAGCAGGGGAUCUUCGGACCUUGCGCGAUUGAAUGAGCCGAUGUCGGAUUAGCUAGUUGGCGGGGUAAAGGCCCACCAAGGCGACGAUCCGUAGCUGGUCUGAGAGGAUGAUCAGCCACACUGGAACUGAGACACGGUCCAGACUCCUACGGGAGGCAGCAGUGGGGAAUAUUGGACAAUGGGCGAAAGCCUGAUCCAGCCAUACCGCGUGGGUGAAGAAGGCCUUCGGGUUGUAAAGCCCUUUUGUUGGGAAAGAAAAGCAGCAGGUUAAUACCCCGCUGUUCUGACGGUACCCAAAGAAUAAGCACCGGCUAACUUCGUG